UGGGGAAUUUUGGACAAUGGGCGAAAGCCUGAUCCAGCAAUGCCGCGUGUGUGAAGAAGGCCUUCGGGUUGUAAAGCACUUUUGUCCGGAAAGAAAUCCUUGGCUCUAAUACAGUCGGGGGAUGACGGUACCGGAAGAAUAAGCACCGGCUAACUACGUGCCAGCAGCCGCGGUAAUACGUAGGGUGCAAGCGUUAAUCGGAAUUACUGGGCGUAAAGCGUGCGCAGGCGGUUUGCUAAGACCGAUGUGAAAUCCCCGGGCUCAACCUGGGAACUGCAUUGGUGACUGGCAGGCUAGAGUAUGGCAGAGGGGGGUAGAAUUCCACGUGUAGCAGUGAAAAUGCGUAGAGAUGUGGAGGAAUACCGAUGGCGAAGGCAGCCCCCGGGCCAAUACUGACGCUCAUGCACGAAAAGCGUGGGGGAGCAAAACAGGAUUAGAUACCCUGGUAGUCCACGCCCUAAAACGAUGUCAACUAGUUGUUGGGGAUUCAUUUCCUUAGUAAACGUAGCU
rnacentral:rRNA from 1 species